rnacentral:rRNA from 1 species
UGGGGAAUAUUGCACAAUGGGCGCAAGCCUGAUGCAGCCAUGCCGCGUGUAUGAAGAAGGCCUUCGGGUUGUAAAGUACUUUCAGCGGGGAGGAAGGUGUUGUGGUUAAUAACCACAGCAAUUGACGUUACCUGCAGAAGAAGCACCGGCUAACUCCGUGCCAGCAGCCGCGGUAAUACGGAGGGUGCAAGCGUUAAUCGGAAUUACUGGGCGUAAAGCGCACGCAGGCGGUCUGUCAAGUCGGAUGUGAAAUCCCCGGGCUCAACCUGGGAACUGCAUCCGAAACUGGCAGGCUUGAGUCUUGUAGAGGGGGGUAGAAUUCCAGGUGUAGCGGUGAAAUGCGUAGAGAUCUGGAGGAAUACCGGUGGCGAAGGCGGCCCCCUGGACAAAGACUGACGCUCAGGUGCGAAAGCGUGGGGAGCAAACA